UACAGAGGUCUCAAGCGUUGUUCGGAUUCAUUGGGCGUAAAGGGUGCGUAGGUGGCGCCGUAAGUCGGGUGUGAAAUUUCGGAGCUUAACUCCGAAACUGCAUUCGAUACUGCGGUGCUUGAGGACUGGAGAGGAGACUGGAAUUCAUGGUGUAGCAGUGAAAUGCGUAGAGAUCAUGAGGAAGACCAGUGGCGAAGGCGGGUCUCUGGACAGUUCCUGACACUG
rnacentral:rRNA from 1 species